GACAGAGGGUGCAAACGUUGUUCGGAAUUACUGGGCGUAAAGCGCGUGUAGGCGGCUUGGCAAGUCGGGUGUGAAAGCCCUGGGCUCAACCCAGGAAGUGCACUCGAAACUACUUCGCUCGAGUAUCGGAGAGGAAAGCGGAAUUCUCGGUGUAGAGGUGAAAUUCGUAGAUAUCGAGAGGAACACCGGUGGCGAAGGCGGCUUUCUGGACGAUUACUGACGCUGAGACGCGAAAGCGUGGGGAGCAAACAGG
rnacentral:rRNA from 1 species